rnacentral:rRNA from 1 species
AGCAGCCGCCGCGGUAAUACAGAGGGUGCGAGCGUUAAUCGGAUUUACUGGGCGUAAAGCGUGCGUAGGCGGCUUUUUAAGUCGGAUGUGAAAUCCCUGAGCUUAACUUAGGAAUUGCAUUCGAUACUGGGAAGCUAGAGUAUGGGAGAGGAUGGUAGAAUUCCAGGUGUAGCGGUGAAAUGCGUAGAGAUCUGGAGGAAUACCGAUGGCGAAGGCAGCCAUCUGGCCUAAUACUGACGCUGAGGUACGAAAGCAUGGGGAGCAAACAGGAUUAGAUACCCGGGUAGUCCCUGUCUCUUAUAC